UAAAUGGUAACAAUGGUGCUGAUCUUUUGAAUAAAUCUACUGCUGGUGCAUCUUUCCUCAUGUUGACACAAUUGUUCACAAAGAUGUUAACAUUUCUCUUGAACCAGUUAUUGAUUCGAUUGAUCUCUCCUAGAGUGUUUGGGAUUUCGGCGUUUUUAGAGUUUAUCGUCU
rnacentral:SRP_RNA from 1 species